rnacentral:rRNA from 1 species
GACAGAGGGGGCAAGCGUUGUCCGGAGUUACUGGGCGUAAAGGGCGCGGAGGCGGUCUGCGGCGUCGGCGCUGCAAGCGCCCCGCUUAACGGGGCGAGGCGUGCCGAUACGCGCGGACUUGAGGCGAGCAGAGGGUGGUGGAAUUCCGGGUGGAGCGGUGCAAUGCGUAGAGAUGCGGAGGAACGCCAGUGGGGAAGCCGGCCACCUGGGCUCGUCCUGACGCUGCGGCGCUACAGCGUGGGGAGCAAGCCGG